rnacentral:rRNA from 1 species
GAUGAACGCUGGCGGCGUGCCUAAUACAUGCAAGUCGAGCGAACAGGCGAGGAGCUUGCUCCUCUGACGUUAGCGGCGGACGGGUGAGUAACACGUGGAUAACCUACCUAUAAGACUGGGAUAACUUCGGGAAACCGGAGCUAAUACCGGAUAAUAUAUUGAACCGCAUGGUUCAAUAGUGAAAGACGGCUUUGCUGUCACUUAUAGAUGGAUCCGCGCCGCAUUAGCUAGUUGGUAAGGUAACGGCUUACCAAGGCAACGAUGCGUAGCCGACCUGAGAGGGUGAUCGGCCACACUGGAGCUGAGACACGGUCCAGACUCCUACGGGAGGCAGCAGUAGGGAAUCUUCCGCAGAGGGCGAAAGCUUGACGGAGCAACGCCGCGUGAGUGAUGAAGGUCUUCGGAUCGUAAAACUCUGUUAUUAGGGAAGAACAAAUGUGUAAGUAACUAUGCACGUCUUGACGGUACCUAAUCAGAAAGCCACGGCUAACUACGUG